UAAAAGCUCAAUUGAAGAGUUUGACAGUGAUGCUGUUCAGGCUUAGCAUAAUAGCAGAUGGCUGCAGUUGCCGUCUGUCUUAGAAACAAAGAAGAAUUCUUCUCCCAGGAGAGAAGAGGAAGGAACGGUUCCAGCUGCUAGAGAUUCAUUGAUGUAUCUCUCUGUUGCCACCCUCACAGGGUGAGCGAGCAAGCUUAUAUAACUUGCCACAGGGGAAGGCAGCAACUUUAAGUAGCAAGGGUGAGGUGGCUGAAGUCACAGUGUUUAUUGAAAAUAGAUCAGGAUAAGCGACAAAUUUGAGAGAAAAUCAGUGGGGGAAUGAUUGCUAGGAAGAUUUGCAGGCAGGUGGAUUAGAGAAAGUUGCUGCUUCUUAAAAUCCUACCAGCUAACAAACCAUGAUGAUUAAAGAGCUUCAAAAUGAUAUUUUUCAGAAUAAGAGGAGAACUGAGGUGAAAGGUGGAAGAAACACUGAAGGAGUGUGGAAACGGGUUGUUUCUGUUUUGGGCCAAAUCCUGAAUCCUGUUUCCUCAUUUUCACAUCAUUCUCAGACCUUAACCUGAUUCUGAGAAGAAAUGUACAAAGGCAACAGAAGCCUACGCUAACAGGCCAGCGUUUCAAACCUCGAAAAAGAGAUGAAUCAUACAAAAACACUGUGUAAAUACUCAAAUUUUAAUGAAAAAAUUAUCACUUUGAUAAUGUUACAUUUUUGGCAUAUUAAGAAAGAAAAUGUAGGGCUCUAAUAAUUAACCUCAUUAAGACCAUAUUAUGUAAUAACCAGCACAAAAUGUAAUGAAGUCAUAAAACGCUUUUUCCAAGAUCAUUUUAAUAGAUUCUUUAAAACUUUUAUUUGUAUUAUAUCUGUUGCCUUGCCAAACAAAAAAACAAAACAAAAAACCAGAAUCAAAUAUUCCUUAAACUUGGCUUUUCUUCUCAGUCAUUCAUUCAGAUUUUUGAGAUGAGCUAAGUAGUCAAAAGAAGAUCCCAAUUAAACAGCCCUGGGCUGUUGAUGUGAAAAUGUUGAGACAUCUGACUGAGGGAAGCUCAAUGAGAUCCAACAGAAGAACUGGCUCUGAGGCAGCGUGAAUGAGUCAAGGAGCCGCUUUCUCAGAUCACUUCAGUUACCUUAAUUAAUUCAGACUGAUACAUCCGAGCAAGAAAGCAAAUUAGCUCAUCGCUUUGUCACAGGAGACAAUCGUCACCAGAAAUGGGUUUGUGAUUAGCUCCAGUUCUGGUCACCAUGUCUGAAUCUGGCGUGACAGGAUGUCACUCAGGACGCCUUCAUCAGAGACAGAAUCGAGGAGCUGCGCUCAACAGAUUCCUUUUGUAAUUUAAAUAGUGAUGAAGUGAAAGUAGGAGGCUGAUUUCCCUAAUAUGGCUGAAUCACAAGAAGCUGAGUCGGCUGCUUUCUCUUUAAUCCUUUAUAAACCAGUCAGUGCAGCAGAGCAAACAGACGAAUGUGAGGAGAAUCCAGCAGCACACAGAAACUCGUUUUCUAACACAAUCCCUGGAUUUGUCUUCUAGUUUGCUCAGGCCUCAGCCCUGCUGGAGAUUUCGUGUGGCAGUCAGCUCAGACGCAGUGAAGAUAUGACUGGAGUAAAUUUACCCCAGAAGAAGAAGACAAGCAGCAGCUGUUUUUUUGUUUUUAAGACAAUAGCUUUUUCACAUUGCUGUGAAGUAUUUACCCCUUUAAUGUCUCAGAUCAACAAACAGAUUUUAACAUUGGAUCAAGAUGUCAUGUAUUAAAGGGAAAACUUCAUUUCUGAUUUAAGGGAUAUUUAAAUCAGGCUUGUUUCUGGUGAGAUUUGGACUCUGCCAAGAUUGCCUUUAGUACGGUAACCAGUCCCCUUCAUAGAGUUUCUAGGUGCAACUAACGUGUUGAAGGGAUUCGCUUUAGUUGUCUCGGAUUGGGUCUGUGCUGUUUGCAGAUGAUGUGGUUCUGUUGGCUUCAUCAGAUUGUGACCUCCACAAGGUUAAGAAAGCUCCUGAACUCCUCGCUGGUGAGCUAUUCCAGUCAUUCUGAAGUGACUGGAACAGGAUGGGCUGGGAAUGCCAAGGGAUUCCCCAGGAUGAGCUUCUCCAGGUUGGAGAGAAGUCUUCUGUCUGCUUUGCUCAGCAAGAUUUGCUCAGAGAUCACACACCAUGAUUAAAAAAUCAUAGUUGUAAGAUUUUGUUGCAGUCAAUGCUGUCCAGCCACAUGGGAGGAGCAACACACCAAAAUACAAAGGGAUUUCACUCACCAGCAUUCAGAUGGAAAAUCUGGCCAAACCUCUCGAGAGACCCAACAUGAAUUCAGGGUAAUUAAACUUUAAGGUAAAAAAGUUGUCAUGAAAUCUUGCCAUGUGAAUGAGGCAUUAGGGUGCUGCUCUGGACCCAAUCCUGGAUAAAGUGGAAAGUGGUUGACUUAAUGGUUGACUUAGAUGAAGGUUUUCCUUUAAUAAAUGGAAUCAUAAUUUGACAAAAUAAUUUUUUUUUUGAAUCUUUGUCUAAUAUUAAAUUUGUUUCAUGAUCUAAAACAUUUUCAAUGCAGACUAAAUCUGUAAGAGGAAAUAGGCCUACAUAUUGUUAUAGGAUCCUUGCUUUUUGUGAUGUUUUUCCUAUUAAUAUCUCUAAGGUGUGCUAUCAAGACGGAACACACAGCUGAGAUCAGAUCUGUUCUAAUUAUUCAAUGACCCAAUGCAAGCUGCUUUCCAGUCUGACUACUUAACUAUAGCAGACACACCAACACAUUCAGGUCCAUUUCACUGACACGGUGCUGCACUAAGCAGAGCAACAAACCACCAGUUUAUCUUCAUUCCUGCUAAUCUGUUGCUGAUGCUUAUAGCUGUUUUUCUUUUUGACUCCACUGCUGAGCCCAGACUGAGAAACUCUCCAUCUUGACACACUUUAAUUUAUUAACUAACUCAUGAUCAGUUUUGGUAUAUACCAUUCAGCUCAGGUUGUAUUUUUAAAGUUUUCUUUUAGCCUCAAACAUUUUUUUUUUUCAGAAUUAAGUGACAUUUACUUCUAUCUUUCUUCAAAAACUGCAAAAAGGACAUCUUAUGAUUUUCUUUUCACAAUUCAGCAAUCUAGCCACUCUAACACAAACACCAGAAUUUGGGAUUUUCCCACAUAUUAGUCUCUGAACACUCCAGAGUUAUGGCGGUAAAUCCAUGUUGAAAGAGGCAAAGUUUAAAUGUCAAUAAUUGUUUUUGAAAUACUAUGAAAUUCAGUAAAUUUCUGUAAAAACAAUACAUUGAAUCCACGUCUAUUCACUUUAGGAAAUUUUUUUUCUCAAUAAAUCUCUUUAGCAUGUUCGAAGAACAGGAAAAGACAGAAUAUUGUAGAACAGCAAAAUAAAUAAAAUGCAAUUUUACAAAAAUAAAAAUCUCAAAUUUUUCCACCUGUCACCAUGCCUGUGGUUCCAUUCCUGACUUCCCUGCAUGUCGAGAUGCUUGUGUUUGACUGUAAGGUGCUCAAAAAUGUCUAAUUUCAGUUCAUUCACCAUCAAAGAAGAAAGCUGAUGCAAAGAAAUGACAGAGGCAGAAGGAGAGGGGAAUUAGAGAAAUGUAAUGAUGAGGUUGAGAAGGAAAAGUAGGGCAUGAAUCAAUGAGGCAGAACAGGAAUCUUUUAUUUAGUUCUAGUUAGCUUGAGAGGGAGACACAAUAAAACUGAAAAUCACACCAACAGGCUAUUAAUACAACAUUUACUUUGUGUAGGCCACCAGUUGCAUGUGGAGUUCAUUGAUUCUUUCCCAUCGGUUCUUAUGAGAAUUUUAGGAACCAGAAAGGAUUUUUUUUUUUACCUCGCAUAGAACUGCUCAGUCCCAAAUCCAGGUAUUUUAUCUGCGAAGUGAAAUGUUUCACAAGCUUUAUUCAAACCCCCCUGCAGCUCAGCAGUCGGCUCGUUCAUAUUUCCAAGUAGCUAACCUCAGCUUUACCUUUCUCUGGAUUCCAUCCCUCCUGUGUUCCUGCUGCCAUCACUGGAGAAAAACAGCUGAGACCUGCAGAAAACCACGACUUCCUGUUCGUUCUUCAAGUCACUGCUUUAUUCACUGAUGGCAUUGAAAAGCCAAACCUUUUCAUUGGACCAUUCAGCCAGAAACAUAAAAAACACUGAAAUGUUUCAGAUCAUCCCAUUUUAAUAUCUAACAAAGAUCAGCUGAGGAAAAUAUAAUCAACCAAACAAUGGCCCUAUAUAAACAAUAUUUCUAUAAACAUAAACAUAUGUUCACAUAUGAUGAAUAUACCAAGAUCUAAAAGACUGAACACGUCCUGAUAACUAUUAGCCACAAACUGAGAAAACUUCCCAGGAAAUACCAGCCUAUCAGUAUUGAUGAUCCAUUCAGGAUAUUCCAAAAUAAUAACAAUCGCAUUCAGUGGUUAUAAUUCAGCAAUAAAAAGGAGACGGAACAAUAGUUAUUUGAGUUUUCCUAAACCCAUCCACUGAUAAACCAGAAGUUCAAAUUCACAAGAUGAUCUGGACCUGUAAUAAUGAAUACAUUGCUUCGUUCUCUCUAGCUAGCAGUAAAUCCUGAAAGAGAAGGACUGGCAACUCCUCCAAGACCUUCAACUCAACCAGAAAGUCCACCUCUAGUUAACAAAUUGUUUCAGAGAAGAUGGUUGCCUCAACAGAAGAUGUGUCAGGACAGAUUUCUGAACAUGCUAUUUUAAUUAUAUUCUAUGAAACUCUCCAGCGAACCCAAAUCAGAAAUAAAGUGAACCAAAAUUUCUUCAUAGCUGUCACGAACACAAACACUUCAAAACACCAGCAUUAAGGUUUAGGGAGUUGUUACUUCUUUCCAUGGUGGGUGAGGAUUUUUUUUACCUUUUAAUAAAGAAAAUCAUAAUUUGACCACUGCAGUUUGUAUUUUCUCAGGUUAUUUCUGUCUAUUGAAUACUUUCUCUGCCUUUAAGAGAAUCAAAACUUCUUUAGCUUUUUUCCUUUUUAGCUUUCUCUUCCUCUGAGCCAUGCUGGGGGAAAAAGCUCUAUUUGAUGAACAGCGUAAUGAUGAUGCAAAGUGCAGGAAACCAAUGGCUUCACUGUUGUCCUUAAAGAUUUUGUGCUCUGUGGUACUAUCUUUUAUUUCUUCAUUUCUUUUUUCAGGAAGUCGGUCACACUGAGUUACCACAGAGUUAACAAGCUAGGUUUCAGUGCUACUUACCUUAAAGCUCCCUGUGCUUCUCCAGGAGGAUUCACUGCUCAGAGAGACAUGGAUAAUAAAAGGUCCUGAAGUAUUUCUAUUCAUUUUUAUUCCAAUAAGUGAUAUCUGGCAAUGCAGGUGACAGGAACACCAUUUCCAUAAAAAAACAGGCAGGAAUCCCUGAAAUGAGUUGUUGUUUAUGGCCUGGAAUCCAGUUUCACAGCUGGAUAUAUCUGAGCAGCCUUUGUGGGUCGACUGGAUGUGUCUGAACGGAUAAUUAGGUUUUCCAGUUAUGUGUGCUGCAAAUAUGGAAAUUCAUUGGUCAUAUCUGUUCGAAAGAAGCAACAGUGGUGAACUUGGAAAAGAGAGGAAUGUUGAGUUGCUGAAAUUAGCACUAAAUGAACACUUGAUCCUUGUUGAUGUGGGUUAUAGAAGGUAGAAAUAUGAAGAAUCAUAAAGAUGUGACGGAUUUAGAAGAAAGCCUGUGGUGACGGCCUACUUAAAGCGCUUCAAGGAAGAAAAACAGGAGAAAUGAAGACAGGGAUCAUUGAUGCUUGUGGGGAGUGAAGAAUGAUAUGUAAUAUUAGAUCCAAUAUAAAAAAAGCUUGUCUUACUGAAAUAAGUUUUUCCUGGAAAAAAUUAGAACACUCUGUGGAAACCUAUUUGUAAUUUAUAAUAUAAAUUUGAACAAAACUGGAUACAUUUUGUAAUACAUAAAAAACAUUCAAAAAGAUAACAUAAAAUAUAUAGUAAAACACCAUUAAAACAAUGUGAGAAAAUAUGAGAUCAUCUGUUAAAAUGUUCCAGAUCUUCAGCUUUUUUGAGACAGAACAAAGCAUCAUGGUUUUGAAGACAUAUCUCAGUAUGACAGGGUGAUCUGAAAAUAAUGCAUUUUGUUUUAGAUGCUCCCUUUAUGCUUUCUUUAAAAGUCUAAAUCAACAGGUUACACAUUCUGGAGUAAGACUGUAACAUUCAACUACAGCAGUUGAGGCUUUUUCCAGCAUACUUUUACACAAUAAUGGUGUAAAGUUGUGCAAAAACAGAAAAUAAAAACACAGGGAAUAAAUGAUUUGAUGUGCAUUGUAUUGGGAACACUGGCAGCAUUGGGUUUAAGAAGCCUGCACCCAGAUGGAGACUCAUACAUUUUUCUGAUCCCCUGUCAUAAUGUUGCUGCGCUCAGGAACAAGUCCCUCAUUCCCACUUCAUUCACUCUGUUUCCAUAUUAAUAACAUACAAUUUUAGAAAACUGGGUUACAACAGAAAUGAUUCACAACAUUCAGCAGACAUGCGGCACCAGCUUUUGUUGCCUUUGUGAAGUAUCUGUGCCAGAUUUUACAGAAAUAUGUAACGGAACCACCAACAUAAAAUGAGGAGAGGGGAGAGAAGGAGAAGCUGUAGUGGGUAUAAAGCUGCAGAACAUUGAUAGAUUCUUCUGUUUGAUCUCAGCACAACAUGGUUUUCUCAACAAUACAAAUUGGUUUUUCAGUAUUCUUGAUAUGGGCUCAUUUUUAAAUGACAUGUUGUGGAUGGUGCAACGAAGAAUUGAAAAUAAAGGUUUCAUUUCAAAGUUUGGUCAAAAUUCUGCAGAAAAACUAAUUCUAGCAGACAUUGAUGGCAGGUGUGGUCACAGAGUGACACACCAAAUUGUUUCGAUAAAUGAGAUCAUCUUUUGAGAACUGAUCAUUUUUAUUUCAUACUAAAAUGUGUUGGAUGAUGUGAAAUAAUUAAAUUAGAUUAGAAAUCUGUGAGGAGGCAAAUGGUGUACAUUAUCAGGAUGCUUAAUCCAACUUUGCUUUCCUACAUUAGAAAUGUAAUCACAUACUGUCUGGGACUAGACAAAACAUCCCACUAACACUACAACCUUUUCCUGUGAUUCCUAUGGCCAGAGGAUUUAGGCAGUCUGUCAUAUUUAGAGAGAGGGAAAAAUGCAAAGAAGCCUUUACUGCCAGCACUUACACCAGAGUGUCUGUGAUGCCUUUUCUCUGUUUAACGGACACAUUGACGACAAGUCCUGUUAGUGAUAGACAGCUGAGUGACAAGUAGAACGUGUGGAAUCAGUGAAAUAAAGACAGCAUUAUAGGAGAAGGCGAGUUAUUAGCAUCCACCUUUAAUAAUAUUUAGACUUCAUUCAGAUUCAAGUAUUUUCAUUGUGUAUUAUUUGUAUACUGCCAUCUUACAAUAAGAAAAGUUUAUCAUUUAUAAUGUUUAUAAUGUUUAAAAGCAAAAGUAUGAAAUUACCUCUUAGUUUCAGCAGAGAAAGAAUGAGGCUAAAAUGGUUCAUUUAUUAGACAGUGGUGAACUUAGUUCUUACUUUUUGAUUUUCCUGUAUCUUGUUCGCUGUCCAGAAUUCCUCAGGGAACAACCUUCUUCCCCUAAGAGUCUGACUGUGUGGUUCAGCCUGUACAAACCGGACAGUUUUCAUUGUUUUCACUUGCUAGCAAUGCUAACAAGGUCCAGGACAUUGUAAUUGAAGCUCACCUGUCUCAUUGACCCAAAAUAUAUACACUUUGCACUCAAAAAUAUGGAAGUAAGAACGUUUCUUGUCAACUUAAAGAAGAAUAGUUUUUUUAAGUAAAACAAGAUCUGUUAAAAAAGGAUAGGAAUGUUAUGCUAGCUAGCUUUUGUCCUCAAAAAUCCAAGGAAAAUUAAACAGCAGUCAGAUAGAUUUUACUCUUCUUUCUUUUGUUUUCUUUUUUAUGGUGGAAUACCCCAUAAAGAUUGAUAAGGUUUUAGUAGCAUUUAGUUCUUUCAUCUAAGAUGAUAUCUUUUUAUUUUAUUUAUGUGUGUUAGCUUGUGUUACACAGAAAUAAUCAGAUUAUUUAAAAUUUUUUAACACACAUACACAUAUGUGCCACAUCUGGGUCCCUCUCUCUUCUCAAGUGCCAUUUUAACAUAGAAUUUGUUUACAGGCAGAUAAACAAAUCCCAACCUUGCAGAACCUCAACCCUUCUCUGUCCCUUUUUAAGUAGCUGAUAAUGACACUUCUUUGAGAUUCUGAGUGUUAAAUCACAUAAUCUCUUUUCUGGUUAAUCUCCUCCUGCUUCCUGGUUCCUUUCAGCUUGGCAUUGUCAGCCUGUGAUGUAUUUCCUGCAUUUAGAUAAAGCUAAAUGUUAUUAAUAAAUGACUAGAACAAAGAUAAAUACUUGAGAUGAACCUUGUUAAGCCCAAUUAGACACAAAGGUUCACCUGUUAAGGUUUAAUUACAAUAACACAAAGAAGAAGCAAGAUUGUACUUUCAUUCCUCCUCCAGUCUAAUCAAAUCUUUGUCACAUAGACUAUCUGAAGGAUUAAUAUCUAUAUCUGAUCCAGUAUAACAGUUUUACCUUCAGGGAGAAAAAAAACAGAAUGUCAUGGAUCUUCAAAGAUCCUGAUCAACUUUCAGAAACUUGUAAAAAAAGAAAGAAAAUUAAUUUAUUUUAAGUUUUUAGGAGUGUGGGAGUUUCAUCACUUCAAACUGCUGUGCUAGCAGUCCCUAUUUUUGCCAUUAAUUCUUGAUUCACAUUGAUUAUUACUUUUUUUUUCUGUAUAGAUUUGCUUAAAUAUUAACUUUGAACCAACUUGUGUCACUGGGAUAUUGUUACACACUAUAAUUUCUUCUUUUGUUUAUAAUUUGGAUAUUUGAGCUUCUAUUGGAAAAUUUGUUAAAAUGAUUCCUGUAUUAAAAUGUACUGAAGGCUGCUGAGAGAAGAAGAGGCCAUUAAUCUAAAAGUAACAUAAAAAUACAGAUUAUAGUUUGGAAAUGUAUUCAGAGACAAAGAGAUGAAUUUUUGGAGAUGUGCUGUUGUCACAGUGACCAUAUUUGGAGAAGAAAAGAGAAGCUUGGACGACUAAAGACACCUUUCCAUGGUGGUAGCAUCAUUCUGAGUUUAUUUUGCCAGAGAAAGCAGUAGAGCAUUUCACAAAGUAUCUUGAAACAUAAUCCAGGAAGUUAAAUCUUGGGCACAAAUGCAUCCCUCAUUGAGAUUUCAUUUCCAAACUUCUCAAUGAAUUUGUCUAAAACGUCAGAAUUCUAGAUUUUUGAAGUAAUGCGCAUGGUAGUCUACAUAGUUUUGGAAAGAGUGAAAGUAGACUUCACUGAGGUCAAUUAGAGCCACAAAGGUGCAACUUGAGGGAGCAUGAGUCGCUGCAGCCAAAUAAUCAGGCUCCCAUUUCUUGCCCGUUCUGGAGUUAGAAAAUAAAAACAUCCCUAAUGGAAAGGUCAGUCCAUUUUUCUGAAUUUAAUUAAAUUCAGGUGUAUUUAUCUGGCAUCACUUGAUAUUGAAAAUCAACAGUGAGCGAUAUUUUGAGAAGGUAAACAUAUUCAAGUCAAAAGCAGUUAUGUAAAUGCAGCCUCGCUCAUUUCACACAAAUCAGUUCUAAAUAUAUCCCAAUUAUAUUCCAGCCAAACUUUUAACAGGCUUUUGUGUUUGUUUGUGAAGAAAGUCAGUAAAUUAAAUUUGAUUUGCACAGGCAAUAUAAACCAAUACGAGGCGAAAAAGGAAAAAAUAGUGAUAUAAAUUUCUAUAUGUUAUAUUUUAUUUGAUAAAGUUCAAAUUCUUCUAUUUUUUCCACUGAAGAGAAGAAAGUCAGAAGAAAUGUCUAUGAAGUACCUCUGAGACCUAACAAACCGGCACAGCUGAGGGAUUUAAAAGUGCUCUCUGACGGGCCCAUUGAGUCUGUUAUUCACCACAAUAAACAAUUAAAUUGUUUUAAUUUAUUAAAAUUUAAACAAUUAAAACAAUUAAAGAUCAGACAGAUAGAUGGUGACAUUUUUACUCUGCUCAAAUUUAGAAUAGUUCAUCUCAUGCACAUGAGCAUUAACCCUCUUGUUUCUUUCUUUCUUUCCUUGAGUUCACCCGUUUCCUGCAGAAAGAGAUGAUCGUUAUAGCGAAGCAGCUCUCUGUAUGUUUUCUGAUGUGACCAGUUGGUGACCAUAGAAUAGAUUGGUUACUAACUAUCUAUUCAACAUAUUUCCUAAAUUUUAAGAAUGUUAUUAUGUCAAAUCAUUUAACUAAAUAUGACUGGUGUCAGGUUUCAUGUUCAAGACUAAAUAUUUUUUGAAGAUAUUCUUCCUGUGGUGAAAGCUGGAAUUAUGUGUCUUAGUCAGAGAGAGUCAGUGUUUCAACCAGAGGCCAAUAAUCAUCCAAACAACUGCCCAGCAGAGAGCCUCUGUCUCUGGUAAUUAGAUGGUGCCUCAGAAUGACUGGUUUUAAACAUACUGCUGGGACAGUGCAUUGGUUUGACCGGUGUCAGCCAAUGACAGGUUUUUGCCUUCCACAGAGACCGAUCCACAAAAAUUAAAAAUAAACAUUUUAAAAGUUUUUGAAAAGUGUAAAAAAAAUACUGUUACUUUUUAUACUGCUAAGGAUGAAUUAUGUACAAUUAUCUACAAAUGCAGACAGGAGACUGGCUUAAGAUAUACUGCUGGAUGUUCAUGUGUAUAUUUCUUGUGCAUGACUGUAAAUACUCAACAGAAGGUGAAUACUUCAGGGUUUGCAUCGCUUACUAAGUUAUUCCAAAGAGAAGAGACUUGUGUUCUUAUAAAAUAUAUAAAAAAAUGUAUUUACCUCUAUGUACAGAGCAUGGGGUUUCUAGUAAUCUAAGGAAAUAAUUCUAGUCCUUUUCUGUCCCAAUAACAGUAAAAGUGACUUCAGAUUAUCAACAAACAUAUUAAAGACCAAACGAGGGUUUUAGGUGUCAAAUAGGCAGGAUGUGUAAUAUAUAUACAAAUAUAUACACUGAAGAAAAAUUCCACUCAAAUAUUUUGUCCUAUAAAUGUUUUAUGUAUGAUGGUAAAUAUCUGUUAUAUGCUUUGAAUUAUAUUUGCAACUUGGCCACAUUUGUAUUCUUGUACAAGAUGCAGCCAGAAUGACUGUAAAAAGGGUAAAUCAAUAUAAAACAUUUAACUUGUUUUUUGUUUUUUUUUAUAAUGAUUAUUGUGCUUUUUUGUAACUGAACUAUAAAACAACAAACACCUAUUUAAGUCUUCAUACCUUCAAUAUAUUAUUUAACAACAUCAUUAUGGGAGAAGAUUAAAAAUGCUAAGCUGAUUAGCUGAUUGUUAGUUGAAUUUGGGUCAAAACCAAAACAGAUUCCUACCAUGUUAAACAGAAAUUCUUGGUAAUUCACUACAAGUUGAAUUACCAAGUUGAAACAUUGCUGAUAUGUUUAUUACUGUGAACUUGUGCUUUCUCUAGACAACUCACUGAAUUAAAACAACUCUUUUCAUAAUUUUUAAAUGACAUUAAUUCUGAGUCAAAUGCACCAAUUUUAACCCUCUGGAAAGUGAUGGUAGCUCAUUUAAUAUUAAUAAAUGCAGCAUGUACAGUGGGACUACAGCAAGCAGCAAACUGCAAAAACCCAUAAAUGCUUGAGACCCACUCUAAAGACUCUUAUAAAUAUCAAUUUUAAUAGUUCAUACACCUACUAUACCUUAAUAUUCAUUAAUAUGCACUUUGGAAACUGCUAUGUUUGUUCCACAGAAGCUAACAUCUACAGUUUUCCUUAUGAACUCUUGGAGUUCAGCCAAUCAGUGCCGAGGAAUUUCUGGCAUUUCUGGAUUGGCUGCUUUGUAAAAGCCGACUAGCAUUGAGUCUUGGUAUUUCAACUGCAGAUUUGGCUGGUUGAAUGUAACUGGUAGAUUAACCAGCCAUCUACAGAAGUUACCUAGUUAAGAUUAAGACCAGAUUAACUGUUUUGACCUGUAUGUUCUGCUGAGAUUUGCUUUACAAAAUAGGUUUUAAAAUCACCAAACUGUUUACUAAAAAAUGCAUCUUGGCUUAAAAUAUAUUCAAACCAUCAAGUGAGGAACACUGUAGGCAGUAUCGUGUUCCAGAGUGUGUGCUUAUCUGUGUUUUUUUCUUUCUUUUAAUUUUUUUUUCUCCAUUAGCAGUGUGUAACGUUUUGUCAAACACAACCAAAUAGUUUGGAGGAUCAGUUUUAGUCUCUAGGCUUAUUCAUAAUUAUUUUAUUCUUACACUUUUAAACUGGCAGUCACUUUGCUUCUAUCACACAAAACUCAUCCAUCUUAAAUACUUCCAGGAUUUUGGUCACGGAAGCCAAAAAAUAAUAAAUGUAAAAAAAGACAUCCCAUAAAAGUUGCAGUGAAAUAAGUGCUUUUCAUUUUCUUUACACAUUGUGGUUGAUUUACCCUUAUCAGUCAGACUCAUUGUACUCAGGUCUUUCACUUGGUUUGGUUUUUAGUGGUGGUUUUUGGGGAAACCCUUAAUGUGAAGUGUUUUGUCUGUGUAAUAUCUUAUGGCUGUUUGUAUAUUCUCUUAGUACUUUCCAUUUUAAAAGUGCUCAAAUAAACAAAUAAAUCAUUUUCAAAGACA